rnacentral:rRNA from 1 species
UGGGGAAUUUUGGACAAUGGGCGCAAGCCUGAUCCAGCCAUGCCGCGUGCGGGAAGAAGGCCUUCGGGUUGUAAACCGCUUUUGUCAGGGAAGAAAUUGCUCGGGCUAAUACCCUGGGCCGAUGAUGGUACCUGAAGAAUAAGCACCGGCUAACUACGUGCCAGCAGCCGCGGUAAUACGUAGGGUGCGAGCGUUAAUCGGAAUUACUGGGCGUAAAGCGUGCGCAGGCGGUCGUGCAAGACAGAUGUGAAAUCCCCGGGCUCAACCUGGGAACUGCAUUUGUGACUGCACGGCUUGAGUACGGUAGAGGAGGAUGGAAUUCCGCGUGUAGCAGUGAAAUGCGUAGAUAUGCGGAGGAACACCGAUGGCGAAGGCAGUCCCCUGGGCCUGUACUGACGCUCA